rnacentral:rRNA from 1 species
GACGAACGCUGGCGGCGUGCUUAACACAUGCAAGUCGAACGGAAAGGCCCUGCUUUUGUGGGGUGCUCGAGUGGCGAACGGGUGAGUAACACGUGAGUAACCUGCCCUUGACUUUGGGAUAACUUCAGGAAACUGGGGCUAAUACCGGAUAGGAGCUCCUGCUGCAUGGUGGGGGUUGGAAAGUUUCGGCGGUUGGGGAUGGACUCGCGGCUUAUCAGCUUGUUGGUGGGGUAGUGGCUUACCAAGGCUUUGACGGGUAGCCGGCCUGAGAGGGUGACCGGCCACAUUGGGACUGAGAUAGGGCCCAGACUCGUACGGGAGGCAGCAGUGGGGAAUAUUGCACAAUGGGCGGAAGCCUGAUGCAGCAACGCCGCGUGCGGGAUGACGGCCUUCGGGUUGUAAACCGCUUUCGCCUGUGACGAAGCGUGAGUGACGGUAAUGGGUAAAGAAGCACCGGCUAACUACGUG